rnacentral:rRNA from 1 species
GACGAACGCUGGCGGCGUGCUUAACACAUGCAAGUCGAACGGAAAGGCCCCUUUGGGGGUACUCGAGUGGCGAACGGGUGAGUAACACGUGAGUAACCUGCCCUUGACUUCGGGAUAACUUCAGGAAAUUGGGGCUAAUACCGGAUAGGAAUCCUUGCUGCAUGGUGGGGGUUGGAAAGCUUCGGCGGUUUUGGAUGGACUCGCGGCUUAUCAGCUUGUUGGUGGGGUAGUGGCUUACCAAGGCUUUGACGGGUAGCCGGCCUGAGAGGGCGACCGGCCACAUUGGGACUGAGAUACGGCCCAGACUCCUACGGGAGGCAGCAGUGGGGAAUAUUGCACAAUGGGCGGAAGCCUGAUGCAGCAACGCCGCGUGCGGGAUGACGGCCUUCGGGUUGUAAACCGCUUUCAGCAGGGGCGAAGCUUGUGGUGACGGUACCUGCAGAAGAAGCACCGGCUAACUACGUG